rnacentral:rRNA from 1 species
UUUUUGAAAAUAAUUUAAAGUCUAAUCUGCCCACUGAUUUUUAAUUAAAGGGCUGCAGUAUUUUGACUGUACAAAGGUAGCAUAAUCAAUAGUCUCUUAAUUGGUGACUUGUAUGAAAGAUUUGAUGAAAUAUAAACUGUCUCUAUUAAAUUUAUAAAAUUUAAUUUUUUAGUUAAAAAGCUAAAAUAUGUUUAAAAGACGAGAAGACCCUAUAGAGUUUUAUAAUUCAUUUAUUUUUAAUUUUGUUUAAAUAUUAAAAUUAAAAAUAAAUGAAUUAUUUUAUUGGGGUGAUAGAAAAAUUAAAUAAACUUUUUUUAAAAUUUUUACAUUAAUAUAUGGUUAUAUGAUCCGUAAAUUACGAUUAAAAGAUUAAAUUACCUUAGGGAUAACAGCGUAAUUUUUUUUUUUAGUUCAAAUAAGAAAAAGAGUUUGCGACCUCGAUGUUGGAUUAAGAUAAAAUUUAAAAUGCAAAAGUUUAAAAUUUUUGAUCUGUUCGAUCAUUAAAAUCUUACA